CCGACGGCAGACACCCUGUCUGACUCACUGGCCUGCGUGUCUACAGUGCGCACAGUAGGACUCACGCGCUCCUUGCUCUGACCCUGUGCCCCCGAGGGCAGGCGUCAAGCCACACGCUCAGCACAGUCUCCCAAGAAGGGUGCCCGGCAUGUAGGAGGUGCUCAAUAAAUGCUGCGUGAGUGAGUGACCGAGAGCGAGGAGGGCAGGUGAAGGGUGUCUGUGACGUCACUUGCUGUCAUCACGGAGAGGGCACGGGCUUUGGCAGAGGGAUGUGCCUCCUCGCCUUGACCUCCGUGGCUCCGGGGCCCUGAGUGAUCCGCUUCUCACGGGACCCCCGACUCUGUGGCAGGGGCACCCGGAGCCCCACAACAGGAGAGGCUGGGCACACGCCAGUGAGCAGCCUCACUCAUGCUAGCCCCCCGCUGUCAAGCCGUUAAGCCUGUGAAGCUUCCCGAGGCAGGAACUUGUCUGAACAAACUUUAGUUGCUAGAAAGUUCUGAUUUGGAGUCAGACCCAGGCAAAUCUGCUGGGCACCCUGGGACUCUCCAGGGACACUUCAGAGACCCUCGGGCUCCUUGUACGUUGAAGCAGGCAAUGACCCAGGACCCUCCGUACGGAAGGAGGGGAGAGGGGUCACCCUGAGCCUGGACCAACCCUCCACCCCAAGAAGAAUGUGGUAGAAUAACUCUGAAUCCCCCGCCCCCCCCCCCCCACCGGGCUGAUUUACCCCAGAGGAAGUUAUACCCCAAGGACCUCUGAGUCUUCUGGACUCUGGGACGUUCUGGGGAGACAGGCAGGUCUUACGGCCCCGAAAUCCUGAGUCAGCAGAUCCAAACCCAGGAAUCUGCAUCUUUAAGAAACUCACCCUCCUCACCCUGAUUCUGAUGCGAAAGAAAGACCAGACUUCCUUAAGACUUUUCUAGAGCUUUCCUAUGACAGCCAGCAGUUGGGAGCUCCGUGUUUGGGACCGGACUUGAGAUGUACGUGCAGCUGUGACCACGGGAAAACAUGGGACGUCUGGGGACGUGGUCUCACUGCUAACGUGUGGGCAGUGACGGCAUGUGGUCCCCAGACUGAGCGACGUAUACCAAGCUCUUGGCUCAAAGCAGGGCUCGUGUGUAAAUGUGGACCAGUUUGGAGGCAGCACUGGGAUGCUGGCGGUUUCGUGGCCGCAGGUAACCACAAGGUGGCAAGGUGACAGGAGUGAAAGCGUCAGGAGGGGCAGAAACUCACCAGUAGAGGUAAUAGAAGAAGGACAGCAGGUAGAACGCCAGCUUGCACCAGGC